AUCGAAAGAAUCAGGCUAAUACCGCAUGAGACCUGAGGGUGGAAAGCGGGGGAGUCGCAAGACCUCGCGCGACAGAGCGGCCGAUGUCUGAUUAGCUAGUUGGUGAGAUAAAAGCUUACCAAGGCGACGAUCAGUAGCUGGUCUGAGAGGAUGAUCAGCCACAUUGGGACUGAGACACGGCCCAGACUCCUACGGGAGGCAGCAUG
rnacentral:rRNA from 1 species